UGUCUUUGAUGUUGACAAAAAACAGUUUGCAAAAUCUACCAUCGGUUCAUUGGCGAUUCCAAGUUGACAGCGUUUACAAACGCCAAGUGCCUUUUAGUGAAUGACAACUCUUCAUAAGCUGUCCUUGAUUACAGAAAACACGUACGCUACGUUGUCGACAUGCUGCGGUGGCGCGCCGCGAGCGAAGCAACGGCAAGCGGAAGAUAAACAUCAAGGCUUAAUUGGCCAGCCCUCCCCAGACAAUUACACAAUCGAUGGUGAUAAACCACCCCGACACACACACACACACACACGCACGCACAACGAGCGCAUAAUGCAGAGACAUUUAAUGCCUGAAGGCGUGAUGGGAGACAAGCGCCUGCCAAGACAAACAUCACCUCCGUCUUUCAUCUCACCUCCCACGAUCAUUGAAGAAAACGGCGUGUGAAAAAUGCUGUAAGUUGUUUACACAGCCACCGACUGCACAUCGGAGAGCUGCCGAGCAAAUGCAACAAAACUGGUUCAAGCUUCUUCGACGUAUGUAAGAUUCAUUGAAGAUUUGAACUUCUCUUUGGCUAAAUUGUCAAAUUGCAUGUUAGGUGUCAUGGAAGGUGUCAUGGAAGACUUAAGUGUCUUUGAUGCUGAACUUUUUGGAAGAUUCGAAUUUGUCUUUGUCGCUCCAGACUAAACUUUCAGACAUUUUAUGGAAGCUAGGUUCACUUAGGAUGAAAUUAUCUUUGCGGUUGAUGAACACCGUUAUGCUAGGUUCACUGAAGACUCUCAAUGUAUUUUGGUUCCGAAAACAUGAACAGCAGGUUCAUCCAUGACUCCAAAUAAUAUUCGAUUUUCCCCAAAACACAAAAACCACGUUAGGUUCAUUUCAGGCAAAAAUUGUCUUUGACAUUUACAUUCACCGAAGACUGGAAAUUGUUUCUGAUGUUACAAAAAUGGAAAACCAUCUGCGUUAGGUUAAUUGAAGACUACAUUGUCUUUGAUGUGAACGUUUUUUGUCUUGUUUACAACGUUAGGUACACCAUUGUCAUUGAUGCCCCACAAUUUCGCAACCACCAUAUUUUCCUGUCCAAUGAAAACGGAAUGGACUUUUUGGAUCGUGA